rnacentral:tRNA from 1 species
GGCCUCGUAGCUCAGUUGGUUAGAAAAUUGGCUGUACUAAAGCCUUCCCCUUGCUGGCGUGGGUUCAAAUCCCACCAAGGCCA